AAAUUGAAGAGUUUGAUCAUGGCUCAGAUUGAACGCUGGCGGCAGGCCUAACACAUGCAAGUCGAGCGGUAGCACAGAGAGCUUGCUCUCGGGUGACGAGCGGCGGACGGGUGAGUAAUGUCUGGGAAACUGCCUGAUGGAGGGGGAUAACUACUGGAAACGGUAGCUAAUACCGCAUAAUGUCGCAAGACCAAAGUGGGGGACCUUCGGGCCUCAUGCCAUCAGAUGUGCCCAGAUGGGAUUAGCUAGUAGGUGGGGUAAUGGCUCACCUAGGCGACGAUCCCUAGCUGGUCUGAGAGGAUGACCAGCCACACUGGAACUGAGACACGGUCCAGACUCCUACGGGAGGCAGCAGUGGGGAAUAUUGCACAAUGGGCGCAAGCCUGAUGCAGCCAUGCCGCGUGUGUGAAGAAGGCCUUCGGGUUGUAAAGCACUUUCAGCGGGGAGGAAGGCGAUAAGGUUAAUAACCUUGGCGAUUGACGUUACCCGCAGAAGAAGCACCGGCUAACUCCGUGCCAGCAGCCGCGGUAAUACGGAGGGUGCAAGCGUUAAUCGGAAUUACUGGGCGUAAAGCGCACGCAGGCGGUCUGUCAAGUCGGAUGUGAAAUCCCCGGGCUCAACCUGGGAACUGCAUUCGAAACUGGCAGGCUAGAGUCUUGUAGAGGGGGGUAGAAUUCCAGGUGUAGCGGUGAAAUGCGUAGAGAUCUGGAGGAAUACCGGUGGCGAAGGCGGCCCCCUGGACAAAGACUGACGCUCAGGUGCGAAAGCGUGGGGAGCAAACAGGAUUAGAUACCCUGGUAGUCCACGCCGUAAACGAUGUCGAUUUGGAGGUUGUGCCCUUGAGGCGUGGCUUCCGGAGCUAACGCGUUAAAUCGACCGCCUGGGGAGUACGGCCGCAAGGUUAAAACUCAAAUGAAUUGACGGGGGCCCGCACAAGCGGUGGAGCAUGUGGUUUAAUUCGAUGCAACGCGAAGAACCUUACCUGGUCUUGACAUCCACAGAACUUAGCAGAGAUGCUUUGGUGCCUUCGGGAACUGUGAGACAGGUGCUGCAUGGCUGUCGUCAGCUCGUGUUGUGAAAUGUUGGGUUAAGUCCCGCAACGAGCGCAACCCUUAUCCUUUGUUGCCAGCGGUUAGGCCGGGAACUCAAAGGAGACUGCCAGUGAUAAACUGGAGGAAGGUGGGGAUGACGUCAAGUCAUCAUGGCCCUUACGACCAGGGCUACACACGUGCUACAAUGGCAUAUACAAAGAGAAGCGACCUCGCGAGAGCAAGCGGACCUCAUAAAGUAUGUCGUAGUCCGGAUUGGAGUCUGCAACUCGACUCCAUGAAGUCGGAAUCGCUAGUAAUCGUAGAUCAGAAUGCUACGGUGAAUACGUUCCCGGGCCUUGUACACACCGCCCGUCACACCAUGGGAGUGGGUUGCAAAAGAAGUAGGUAGCUUAACCUUCGGGAGGGCGCUUACCACUUUGUGAUUCAUGACUGGGGUGAAGUCGUAACAAGGUAACCGUAGGGGAACCUGCGGUUGGAUCACCUCCUUACCUUAAAGAA
rnacentral:rRNA from 1 species